rnacentral:rRNA from 1 species
UACAGAGGGGGCAAGCGUUAUUCGGAAUUAUUGGGCGUAAAGGGCGCGUAGGCGGCCAUUCAAGUGACGGGUGAAAGCCCUCGGCUUAACCUCCAGACGUCGGUGGAAACCGCAUGGCUAGAGUCCGGAAGAGGAGAGUGGAAUUCCCGGUGUAGCGGUGAAAUGCGCAGAUAUCGGGAAGAACACCCGUGGCGAAGGCGGCUCUCUGGGACGGUACUGACGCUGAGACGCGAAAGCGUGGGGAGCGAACAGG